AUUGAACGCUGGCGGCAGGCCUAACACAUGCAAGUCGAGCGGAUGAAGGGAGCUUGCUCCUGGAUUCAGCGGCGGACGGGUGAGUAAUGCCUAGGAAUCUGCCUGGUAGUGGGGGAUAACGUCCGGAAACGGGCGCUAAUACCGCAUACGUCCUGAGGGAGAAAGUGGGGGAUCUUCGGACCUCACGCUAUUAGAUGAGCCUAGGUCGAUUAGCUAGUUGGUGGGGUAAAGGCCUACCAAGGCGACGAUCCGUAACUGGUCUGAGAGGAUGAUCAGUCACACUGGAACUGAGACACGGUCCAGACUCCUACGGGAGGCAGCAGUGGGGAAUAUUGGACAAUGGGCGAAAGCCUGAUCCAGCCAUGCCGCGUGUGUGAAGAAGGUCUUCGGAUUGUAAAGCACUUUAAGUUGGGAGGAAGGGCAGUAAGUUAAUACCUUGCUGUUUUGACGUUACCAACAGAAUAAGCACCGGCUAACUUCGUG
rnacentral:rRNA from 1 species